rnacentral:rRNA from 1 species
ACCGGCGCACGGGUGAGUAACACGUAUGCAACCUACCUACUACAAGGCAAUAACCCGGCGAAAGUCGGACUAAUAGCCUAUAAUACAAUAUCCUCCCCUGAGGAUUUUGUUAAAGGAGCAAUCCCGGUAUUAGAUGGGCAUGCGCUCCAUUAGGUAGUUGGUAGAGUAAUAGCCUACCAAGCCGACGAUGGAUAGGGGCACUGAGAGGUUUACCCCCACACUGGAACUGAGACACGGACCAG